AUCAUCGUUGUCUUCGGCGUCAUGUACUACUGAUCAUCGGAAUUCCAAUUCGGUUUCUCAAUCACCGUUGAGUCCUUCCACGAUUUCAACUGCGUCAACGACGACCACUCCUGCUGCUCCAGUGGGGGCUGGUGGUGGUGGUGGAGGAGGGAAUUUAUCUACGAUCAACAGACAGCAGGACUAUUAUACUUCGGAGGAAGAGUAUCAAGUGCAACUUGCCCUAGCUUUGAGUGUGUCAUCCUCCCAGUCUCAAGAUCCUUUUCCCUCUGAUGUUAAUUCAAGCAAUGGUCAUGGUGUAGGGCGAACCGCUGUUGACUUGGCACGUGAUAGAGAGGAUGCCGCUGCGGACUUGCUAUCGAGGCAGUAUUGGGAUUAUGGUGUGAUGGAUUAUGAGGAGAAAGUUGUUGAUGGCUUCUAUGAUGUAUAUAAUCUCUUUACAGAUCCAGCA
rnacentral:misc_RNA from 1 species